rnacentral:rRNA from 1 species
GACGAACGCUGGCGGCGUGCUUAACACAUGCAAGUCGAACGGAAAGGCCCCUUUGGGGGUACUCGAGUGGCGAACGGGUGGGUAACACGUGAGUAACCUGCCCUUGACUUCGGGCUAACUUCAGGAAACUGGGGCUAAUACCGGAUCGGAAUCCUUGCUGCAUGGUGGGGGUUGGAAAGCUUCGGCGGAUUUGUGUGGACUCGCGGGUUAUCGGCUUGUUGGUGGGGUAGUGGCUUACCAAGGCGUUGACGGGUAGCAGGCCUGAGAGGGCGACCGGCCACAUUGGGACUGAGAUACGGCCCAGACGCCUACGGGAGGAAGCAGUGGGGAAUAUUGCACAAUGGGCGGAAGCCUGAUGCAGCAACGCCGCGUGCGUGAGGACUGCCUUGGGGUUGUAAACCGCUUUCAGCAGGGGCGAAGCUUGUGGUGACGGUACCUGCAGAAGAAGCACCGGCUAACUACGUG